GUCCGGCCAGCCAGGGAGACCAGCCAAGCGCUGUGUUUUUCCAGGUCCGCGCGGGCCAGGGGAACCCUGCGUGUUUGCUUGGUGGGAGUGGUUUACUGGGAAAGUAGACGGAAGGUACCCUGCAAAUCGGCGUGCACUGUAUUGUUUGGGAGUCAACAGCCUGGAAAGUAAAUAUCAGCAGUCGCUUUGGAAUGUGUUUCCUCUCGUCCGGGGUUUGAAGAUUAGUCAUGAAAAACAUCACUCUGCCCUUGCUGAAGUGCAUGUUGGCUACUCGAUCAUUCCACCUGUGUGCCCCAAGACGGUCUGCUAAGGAGGGCUCCCCUCUUUUCCAUGCCCUCUCAGCUCCAGACUCCAUCCCAUCCAUCAACAUUAUCCUGUGCCCCCGAGGGAGGAGGGCGGGGGAGGGUUUCUGUGCCUGGAUUAUUGGUGAGAGGAGAGCAAGUGCAGAAAUGAAGCUAUGACUCUUGCAGAAGUCAUGCAUUCCGUUCAAGGAUAUUCCUUUCCGUAGCCUCCACACAUUCCCUCUG
rnacentral:lncRNA from 1 species